rnacentral:rRNA from 1 species
CCUAUUUAUAAUGGCGGCAUUUCAUCUUAUUAGAGGAACCUGUAUUAUAAUCGACAAUCCACGAUAAUUUUCACUUUAAUUAAAAAUUUAUAUAUCGCCCUCUAAAGAAUUAAUUUUAUUAUAUUAUUCUAAAUAAAAAAUAAAAAGUUAGGUCAAGGUGUAAUUUACAUUAAAGUAAAUAAUGGGUUACAUUAAAAAUAAUUCAAGGAAUAUAUAAUAAAAAUCUUUAAGAAAAAGGAUUUAAAAGUAAUAUUAAAAUAAUAAUUUAUUAUU